rnacentral:rRNA from 1 species
UACGAAGGGGGCUAGCGUUGCUCGGAAUCACUGGGCGUAAAGGGUGCGUAGGCGGGGCUUUAAGUCAGGGGGGAAAUCCUGGAGCUCAACUCCAGAACUGCCUUUGAUACUGAAGAUCUUGAGUUCGGGAGAGGUGAGUGGAACUGCGAGUGUAGAGGUGAAAUUCGUAGAUAUUCGCAAGAACACCAGUGGCGAAGGCGGCUCACUGGCCCGGUACUGACGCUGAGGCACGAAAGCGUGGGGAGCAAACGGG